UUACGGCCACAUGAUGUUGAAACACCGGUUCACGUAAGAUCACCGAAAUUAAGCAACCUCGAGCCUGGUCAGUACCUAGAUGAGUGACCUCUUAGGAAUACUAGAUGC